ensembl:lncRNA
CUCCCUCUGACAUCCUGGCCAAGGGUGCUGCUCCCUUCCCACUGCAUCCCCUGAUCGGAACUUUCUGAACAGUGAGUCACUACCAUGCCUGAAAUCUCUCCUUUAAAGCUUCUCUUCUUCUUGUGAUUUAAAAGCAGAGCGCAAGUCAGCAUCCAGAAAAUGAUCCACUGCUGUCUACUGGAUUUUGCUGUUCUUUGAGACCUCACUGGACCUUGGCUAGUUCAUUCUGUAGCUUGACUGUUGCCAGUUCCUUAGCUGGGUCUGGGCUAUACCCACAACGGAUCACCUUGCUUGAAGAAGUUUUCAUGGAAAGACCAGCCAAUACGCACCAAAGACUUUAGGGUGAGUUUAGUCUUUUUCAGUGGCCCCAUGCACAUCUUCU